AUGGCGGUGGCGAUCGCGGAGUCUCCGUUCCAUGUCUUGGCCGUGGAUGACAGCGUCCUUGACAGGAAGCUCAUUGAGAGGCUCCUCAAGACAUCUUCUUUCCAAGUUACCACCGUGGAUUCCGGGACCAAGGCUCUCGAGUUCUUGGGGCUCCAUGGCGAGGACGCCUCCAUUUCUUCUGUCCAUGCAGACCAGCUGCAGGACGUCGAGGUGAACGUGAACCUCAUCAUCACCGACUACUGCAUGCCUGGGAUGACAGGAUACGAUCUGCUCAAGAAGAUCAAGGAGUCGUCGUCUUUCAAAGACAUCCCGGUUGUGAUCAUGUCAUCGGAGAACAUACCUUCCAGAAUCAACAGAUGCCUGGAGGAAGGAGCAAAUGAGUUCUUCCUGAAACCAGUACGGCUAUCAGACAUGAGCAAGCUCAAGCCCCACAUAAUGAAAAGCAGAUGCAAAGAGCACUGCCACCAGGACGAAGACCUGCUAAGCAACAGCGAGACCAACCCCACAAACAACAGCAGCAGCAGCAGCGAUACCAUUACCAUCAGCAGCAGUAACCCCACGGACAACAGCAGCGGCGAUACCAUCAGCAGCAGCAACCCCACGGAUAACAGCAGCGGUGAGAGCAGCAACAUCCACAAAAGAAAGGCGGCAGAUGACGAAAUUUUAACCAAGACAAGCAGACCAAACCACAGUUGUUAG
rnacentral:rRNA from 1 species